UAGGGAAUCUUCCACAAUGGACGCAAGUCUGAUGGAGCAACGCCGCGUGAGUGAAGAAGGUUUUCGGAUCGUAAAGCUCUGUUGUUGGUGAAGAAGGAUAGAGGCAGUAACUGGUCUUUAUUUGACGGUAAUCAACCAGAAAGUCACGGCUAACUACGUGCCAGCAGCCGCGGUAAUACGUAGGUUGCAAGCGUUGUCCGGAUUUAUUGGGCGUAAAGCGAGCGCAGGAGGAAUGAUAAGUCUGAUGUGAAAGCCCACGGCUCAACCGUGGAACUGCAUCGGAAACUGUCAGUCUUGAGUGCAGAAGAGGAGAGUGGAAUUCCAUGUGUAGCGGUGGAAUGCGUAGAUAUAUGGAAGAACACCAGUGGCGAAGGCGGCUCUCUGGUCUGCAACUGACGCUGAGGCUCGAAAGCAUGGGUAGCGAACAGG
rnacentral:rRNA from 1 species